rnacentral:rRNA from 1 species
AAUAGAUACCCCGGUAGUCCACGCCGUAAACGAUGAGUGCUAAGUGUUAGGGGGUUUCCGCCCCUUAGUGCUGCAGCUAACGCAUUAAGCACUCCGCCUGGGGAGUACGGUCGCAAGACUGAAACUCAAAGGAAUUGACGGGGGCCCGCACAAGCGGUGGAGCAUGUGGUUUAAUUCGAAGCAGCGCGAAGAACCUUACCAGGUCUUGACAUCCCAUUGACCACUAUGGAGACAUAGUUUUCCCUUCGGGGACAACGGUGACAGGUGGUGCAUGGUUGUCGUCAGCUCGUGUCGUGAGAUGUUGGGUUAAGUCCCGCAACGAGCGCAACCCUUGUUCUUAGUUGCCAUCAUUUAGUUGGGCACUCUAAGGAGACUGCCGGUGACAAACCGGAGGAAGGUGGGGAUGACGUCAAAUCAUCAUGCCCCUUAUGACCUGGGCUACACACGUGCUACAAUGGACGGUACAAACGGUUGCCAACCCGCGGAGGGGAGCUAAUCCGAUAAAACCGUUCUCAGUUCGGAUUGUAGGCUGCAACUCGCCUACA